rnacentral:rRNA from 1 species
GACGAACGCUGGCGGCGUGCUUAACACAUGCAAGUCGAACGGAAAGGCCCUGCUUUUGUGGGGUGCUCGAGUGGCGAACGGGUGAGUAACACGUGAGUAACCUGCCCUUGACUUUGGGAUAACUUCAGGAAACUGGGGCUAAUACCGGAUAGGAGCUCCUGCUGCAUGGUGGGGGUUGGAACGUUUCGGCGGGUGGGGAUGGACUCGCGGCUUAUCAGCUUGUUGGUGGGGUAGUGGCUUACCAAGGCUUUGACGGGUAGCCGGCCUGAGAGGGUGACCGGCCACCUUGGGCCUGAGAUACGGCCCAGACUCCUACGGGAGGCAGCAGUGGGGAAUAUUGCACAAUGGGCGGAAGCCUGAUGCAGCAACGCCGCGUGCGGGAUGACGGCCUUCGGGUUGUAAACCGCUUUCGCCUGUGACGAAGCGUGAGUGACGGUAAUGGGUAAAGAAGCACCGGCUAACUACGUG